AAAUGUGAAGAAGAGGUC
rnacentral:misc_RNA from 1 species